UACGGAGGGAGCUAGCGUUGCUCGGAAUUACUGGGCGUAAAGCGCACGUAGGCGGCUUUGCAAGUCAGAGGUGAAAGCCUGGAGCUCAACUCCAGAAUUGCCUUUGAGACUGCAUCGCUUGAACACGGGAGAGGUGAGUGGAAUUCCGAGUGUAGAGGUGAAAUUCGUAGAUAUUCGGAAGAACACCAGUGGCGAAGGCGGCUCACUGGACCGUUGUUGACGCUGAGGUGCGAAAGCGUGGGGAGCAAACAGG
rnacentral:rRNA from 1 species